GGGGGAUUAGCUCAGUUGGGAGAGCGCUUGCAUGGCAUGCAAGAGGUCGAGGGUUCGACUCCCUUAUCCUCCA
rnacentral:tRNA from 2 species